UUAUGUGAGGGAGAUCUGGCCGCGACAUCUGUCACCCCAUUGAUCACCAGAGUUGAUUCAGCUGAUCUGACUGGCUAGGUGGGUGUCCCCUUCCUCCCUCACAGCUUCAUGUGCUUCCCUCCCGAAGCUGUGCACUUGGUGGAAGAGGACGACGUCCCAGGUAUAGAAAGGGGUGUACCGAGGUCUCCAGUCUUUGGUCCUGGGUAUUCAAUAACUGCGCUCCCCUGCUAGAACCUCCAAACAAGUUCAAGGUCUUACAUCUUUUUAUUAUGCAAUCAAAUAUAUAUCCACAAAAACGUUUAACUUUUGAUCAUUGUUUCAUGG
rfam:Anolis carolinensis chromosome 1, whole genome shotgun sequence.